AUGCAUUCAUACCGCCUUGGUAUUUAUAGAACAAGGAUCUUAACAUAAGUAUAUAUAACGGGCAGUCAAACACAGAUCCUUAUUACUGCGCAUUGCUCUUUCACCGGUCAAACAACGUCUAGACAUGCUGAGCAAAGUGACGAUACUUGUUCGUGUUCUUAGUUUUAGUGUCAUGUUCGGCGCAAUACAGUCUCAAUUACAAUCGCCGUCGCAUUGGCAUCAUAGAUAUCACAGCAACAGUGCGAGCGGAUCAAGCCCGAUCACUGGGACAGUGAAUUUCUUAAAGCACAAUCACCUCCAAAGUGAGCAAGCAUCACAAAUAAAUCCACACCACGGAAAAACGUUUGACUUUAUAGUGAUUGGUGCUGGCACAGCCGGCGCUACAAUAGCAGCGAGACUGAGCGAAAUUCCUCACAUCAAAAUAUUACUGAUCGAGGCCGGACCCGAAGAGAACAUUUUCAUGGACGUUCCUCUAAUCGCUCCCGUCAUGUCUCUCAACAACAAUAUCAAUUGGAAGUACAAAACUAAGCCGUCCAAUAAGUAUUGUCUUGGUAUGAAGGGGAACAGUUGCGCUUGGCCCGCAGGAAAAGUUUUCGGCGGGAGUAGCGUGCUAAAUUUUAUGAUAGCUAACAGAGGCGGCGCCGAGGAUUACGAUGAUUGGGCCGAGAUGGGGAACAAGGGUUGGGCCUACGAAGACGUUCUCAAGUAUUUCAAAAAGCUGGAAACAAUAGAUAUUCCAGAAUUAAAGGCGGAUGUCACCUACCACAAUAACGACGGACCAGUACAUAUCACGCAUCCGUCAUUUUAUACACCGUUGGCGGAGGCCUUUCUAGAAGCUGGCAAGGAGUUGGGAUAUCCACUAGUAGAUUACAACGGGAAGUACCAAAUAGGAUUCUCACAUCUGCAGACUACGAUCAUGAACAACACUCGCAUGAGCAGCAAUAGAGCGUAUUUGAAGCCCGCGCGAGAUCGCAGCAAUCUUUACGUAACUCCCGAGAGCACGGUGACGAAAGUGCUGAUCGAUUCUGACACAAAUCGUGCAAUCGGCGUCGAGUAUACCAAGUAUGAUGAAAACGUCACCGUGUUCGCGAGCAAAGAGGUGAUUAUGUGCGCAGGUGCAGUCAAGUCCCCUCAACUGCUGAUGCUCUCCGGAAUUGGGCCAGCGAAACACCUUCACGAAUUAGGUAUAGACGUCGUUCGGGACGCGCCAGUCGGGGAGAAUCUUAUGGACCACCCAAUGUUCUUUGGGUUGUCGUGGUCAGCAAACGUAUCAACAAGUUUACAAUCAUUCGACCUGCUGAACCCUAUUAAUUCGUACCUAAUGGACUUUUUAAUAAAGCGAACGGGACCGUUUACGAUUCCGGGUGGAUGCGAGGCCGUCGGCUUCAUCGACACAAAACACCGAGAAAAACGUAGCGGUCUACCUGAUAUCGAACUACUGUUUGGUGGUGGUACAACGAGAAAUUUUAUUUUUUCAAGCGUAUUGAAUUUUAAGGACCCGAUAUCUCAAGAAUGGGAUAAAUAUCAUGACAGACGCGGCUGGUUUGUUGGGACAGUGUUGUUGCGACCGAAAAGUCGUGGUAGGAUAACGUUAUUGGCUAAUAACAUUAAUGUUAAACCCGAAAUCGUGCCAAAUUAUUUCGACCAUCCAGACGACGUCAAGUCGAUGAUCGCCGGAAUUAGAACUGCGUUUAACGUCGCUCAGACAAAGGCGAUGCAAACGAUUGAUUCUCAGUUUUUAAAUGUCACUUACACCGAAUGUAACAUUCACGAAUAUGACUCUGAUGCUUAUUGGGAAUGUGCGAUAAGGACAUUAUCUAUCACGCUUUAUCAUUACUCUGGAACUUGCAAAAUGGGGGCGAGAGGAGACCCGACUGCUGUCGUCGAUCCUACAUUGAAGGUGAUUGGCAUUGAAAGGUUACGAGUAGCAGAUGCAUCUAUCAUGCCCAGAAUUGUAUCGGGACAUUUGAACAUACCUGUUUACAUGAUCGCCGAAAAAGCUGCGGAUAUGAUCAAGGAAGAAUGGGGAUAUUUGUAGAAGUCGUAAUAGAUACGAGUAUUUUAAUCAAAGUGCACUGACAGAAAAAGAUGGUUGCAGUUAUUACCACAAUCUCGCUAUCAUUUACAGUCAUUUUAGGAGGCAACCACAUUUUUAUAAUUGUUCCAACUACAGCAAUACACGAUGCACGUGAUGCGAGUUGGCAUGGCUGAAGCUUUCACACGCCCGAAGUAACCAUAUCAUGACAGCUUGUCGACAGUGAUACAAUUUUGCUACCGCUCGAAUGGGCAACGCGAAGUCAAGUGGUAAAACUAUGACAAAGCGAUUGCAUUUGAUUUCUAAAAAUGAUUUGCUAUUUGAAUUGUUAAUUACUUUUAUAUACAAAACUAGAAACAUAUUUUUAGCGAUCCUUUGUUAAAAUUAGUAGCAACAAUUAGCGAACAAAUUCAAAUUUGGACGAUGGUGGCGAUUGUGAACUUGACGCUAAAAGCGAGUAUGUUUGUUUCGGCGAAGGCAGAGUCGAUAAAGAUCGUUCAUCGACAUUAUUGCAUACACGUGCAGCGUCCAGAGCUAAGAUUGAAUUAAAGUCGGUCGAUCGCAAUUAUGAUUUUUAACGAACCGUUCAACGCCGAUCAACGUGUGUGUAUGUGUGUGCGUGCCGACUCGCGCGCGGGACAUCCACGCACACGCGCGCUCCGUAGCGCUCAUCUAUUUUCAGAAUGUAGGCCAAUUAAUCCCGCCGCAUUUUCGGCACGGAGGAAAAACGAAAACAUUACAAGUGUCUCACGGAAAUAGCCGCGGGGAUAAAUGUCCAAGUACCGGUCGCUCUCUCGCGCUCAUCCACGCUCUCUCGUUCCUUCUCCGCGAGGGUAGCGUCGCAUAAGCGCAAUAAUUUAAUAUAGAACAUAUGUAAGAGUUCGUCGCUUACUUGGACGCACCCUGAGAGUCACUUGCGUGAUAUGCAGACGUUUGCUCGAUGAUAAACAGGAAAUUCUAUCACUUGCGUGCCUCAUUCUAAUUAUACAUCCUUAAUUAGAUCUGGACCUUGAUUAGAUUUGGAUCUCGAUUUUUCUCGCACAUUCUAAUGGUUUGUUAAUCUGUUUCUAAUGUAUUUCUUACUUGUAUUACACGUGUGUUACAUAUAUGCAUAUUUAUAUUAAUAAUUUAACGCGUGACGUCUAAUUUGUUGGAAGCGUGCGUAAUCGAUUGCUAAAAGUUAUCAACUAACUCGUAACGAUAUCUUCACUUCAUUUUGUAUUAAAUGCAGGCACCAAGAGGCUCUUGAUCUCGAUGACGAUGGCUCUAACGGCCUUUUACACGGGCAAUAUUCAGCGUUUACGAGCAGAUUAACGACACGCGUGUUAGGUGAAAGCGUGUUGUGGAGAGGAGUGUUGAGAAACACACUGCUACGUGACGAGAAAUAAAUUUGUUAACAUUUAAUGGCACGUAUGAGUGACAGGUAUCGCUAUUGUGGCAUUUUACGAUCCAGAUUAGAAUGGGGUAGAGUAAAUGAAAUUGAUAUCAAUCUUCGCGUUGAACGUCUACAAUUCGGAAUUGAAUAAACGCGCGUGAGAUGAAUUCCAUGCUGAACGAGGGGCGGCAUUUAUUAAUCGAUGUGUACAAGUGCAAAUCUAAUUUGAAAUAAA